UACGAAGGGGGCUAGCGUUGUUCGGAAUCACUGGGCGUAAAGGGCGCGUAGGCGGCCGCUCAAGUCGGGGGUGAAAGCCUGUGGCUUAACCACAGAAUUGCCUUCGAUACUGUUUGGCUUGAGACCGGAAGAGGUGAGUGGAACUGCGAGUGUAGAGGUGAAAUUCGUAGAUAUUCGGAAGAACACCAGUGGCGAAGGCGGCUCACUGGCCCGGUACUGACGCUCAUGUGCGAAAGCGUGGGGAGCAAACAGG
rnacentral:rRNA from 1 species